rnacentral:tRNA from 4 species
GCCUCCGUAACUCAGAUUGGUAGAGUGUGUGCAUGGUAAGCACAAAGUCGUGGGUUCAAAUCCCAUCGGAGGCU